CACAUUGAUAUGGUUUCUCACCAGUAUGAAUUCUCUGAUGUACUCUAAGGUUUCUACCACUGGUAAAGCAUUUCCCACAUCCUUGACAUUCAUAAGGGUUCUCACGAAUAUGAAAUCUAUAAUGUCCAUGAAAUUGGUAAUGAUAUUGAAAGGCCUUCCCACAUUCCUUACAUUCAAAGGUUUUCACCCAAGUAUGAAUUUUCUGAUGUUCAGUAAGUUGCUACUGAUGUCUGAAGGCUGUCCCACAUUUCUUACAUUCAAAGGGUUUCUCACCUGUACAAGUUUUUGAUGCAGAGAAAGUUGUAGGUGAAGUCUAAAAGCCUUCCCACACUCCUUACAUUCAUAGGGUUUCUCACCAGUAUGAAUACUCUGAGGUUGAACAAGGUUUGAGCCACGAUUAAAGGCCUUCCCACACUCCUUACAUUUAAAUGGCUUCUCACCAGUAUGAAUGAUCUGAUGUUGAGCAAGCUGUGUCAGAAGACCAAAGGCCUUUCCGCAUUCUUUACAUUCAAAGGGUUUCUCACCAGUAUGAAUUCGGUAAUGUUCAGUAAGCUGGUAAUGAUAUCUAAAGGUCUUCCUACACUCCUUACAUACAAAGGGUUUCGCACUGGAAUGAGUUUUCUGAUGCUGAAUAAGGUUUGAAACACGACUAAAGCCUUUCCCACACUCCUUACAUUCAUAUGGUUUUACACCAGCAUGAAUACUCUGAUGUUGAACAAGGUUUGAGACACGAUUAAAGGACUUCCCACAUUCUUUACAUUUAAAUGGCUUCUCACCUGUGUGAAUGUUCUUAUGGUGAUUAAGCUGGGUGUGAAGACUGAAGGCCUUGCCACAUUCCUUACAUUCAAAGGGCUUCUCACCAGUAUGAAAUUUCUGAUGUCGAAUAAGGUGCAUAUGAAGUCGAAAGGCUUUCCCACAUUCCUUACAUUCAAAGGGUUUCUUUCCGGUAUGAAUACUUCGAUGUUGAUUAAGAUUUGAACCACGACGAAAGAAUUUCCCACAUUCCUUACAUUCAAAGGGUUUCUUUCCAG
rnacentral:lncRNA from 1 species